rnacentral:rRNA from 1 species
AACGAACGCUGGCGGCAGGCUUAACACAUGCAAGUCGAGCGCCCCGCAAGGGGAGCGGCAGACGGGUGAGUAACGCGUGGGAAUCUACCCAUCUCUACGGAAUAACUCAGGGAAACUUGUGCUAAUACCGUAUACGCCCUUCGGGGGAAAGAUUUAUCGGAGAUGGAUGAGCCCGCGUUGGAUUAGCUAGUUGGUGGGGUAAUGGCCUACCAAGGCGACGAUCCAUAGCUGGUCUGAGAGGAUGAUCAGCCACACUGGGACUGAGGCACGGCCCAGACUCCUACGGGAGGCAGCAGUGGGGAAUAUUGGACAAUGGGCGAAAGCCUGAUCCAGCCAUGCCGCGUGAGUGAUGAAGGCCCUAGGGUUGUAAAGCUCUUUCACCGGUGAAGAUAAUGACGGUAACCGGAGAAGAAGCCCCGGCUAACUUCGUGCCAGCCGCCGCAGUAACAC